rnacentral:rRNA from 1 species
UACGUAGGGGGCAAGCGUUGUCCGGAUUUAUUGGGCGUAAAGAGCGUGUAGGCGGCCAGGUAGGUCCGUUGUGAAAACUGGAGGCUCAACCUCCAGCGUUCGAUGGAAACCAUCUGGCUAGAGUCCGGAAGAGGAGAGUGGAAUUCCUGGUGUAGCGGUGAAAUGCGCAGAUAUCAGGAAGAACACCCGUGGCGAAGGCGGCUCUCUGGGACGGUACUGACGCUGAGACGCGAAAGCGUGGGGAGCGAACAGG